UUACGGCCAUAUAAUGUUGAAACACCGGUUCUCGCACGAUCACCGAAGUGACGCAACGUUCAGGCAGGUCAAUACCUAGAUAUGUGACCACUUGGGAAUACUAGGUGCUGUAA